CACCUUUCGUUUUUUCCUCUAUUACACUUUCACCUCCACAGUUGUAGCGAAGUAUAGUUGACUGACAAUGGGGGUGCUGUAACCCAAGAUCUUCAUGUUUCUCUGCGCUGCUUCAUCUUUCCUAUUUAUUUUCAUUGUUUCAUAUCCCAAUCAAAAUCUGCAGACAUUGCUUUCCUGGGUAAUCAUCAAUCAUUAUCAAUCCAUGUCCGACGAUUCAAGAUCCGACGGCCGCUCUGUUGCUCGACCAGUCGACGCGCGCUUAGGCGACCUGCCCGCACCGAAAACAACAAAAAACUUGCGACGUCUUGGGAAAGGCAAGCCAAUGAAGCUAUAGAGUGUAGUGAAUUUCAGGCAAGACCCCACUAUAUUAGGUACUUUUGUUUUGAGAAUGUCACUUUCAAGCUUCUUAAAGCGAGUAAGAUGUCACUUUGAAGCUCCCAUUUUUUAACAGUAUGAGCAUCACUUCAUAUGUAGGCAGAUCUUUGUUAUUUGGCAUGUAUAGUGCAUGUACACAAACUUAUAUUUCCUAUGCUUUAGACAGGUUCAAUAGAGAUGACUAUAAAAGCACAUAUGCAUACAUGCAUAAUGCAGAGGCACUUUUGUAGCAA